UACGUAGGGGGCGAGCGUUGUCCGGAUUUAUUGGGCGUAAAGAGCGCGUAGGCGGCCAGGUAGGUCUGCUGUGAAAACUCGAGGCUCAACCUCGAGACGGCGGCGGAAACCAUCUGGCUAGAGUCCGGAAGAGGAGAGUGGAAUUCCUGGUGUAGCGGUGAAAUGCGCAGAUAUCAGGAAGAACACCCGUGGCGAAGGCGGCUCUCUGGGACGGUACUGACGCUGAGACGCGAAAGCGUGGGGAGCGAACAGG
rnacentral:rRNA from 1 species